GUAACUGAUCAUGAGGCCCAACAUGCAUGAGCCAUCCUGAGUCUCCUUCCUCCGUAGGAUGGAGCCUAUAGUACUCAGCAGAGUCAGAUUAUGACCCUCCUGCCUCAAGUUCCCAAGUGCUACGAUUAUAGACAUGAGCCACCACACCUGACCACAGAUACAUAAAGUGAGUGGUCAUGUGAAACUGAAGAAAUAAAUGUUCAAGUUCUCCGCAGCCAAAGAACACUAAGAAAUGCUAGGAAGUCACCAGAAGGUUGGUAGAGUCGGAGAACAAGAGGGAACCUCCCCAAUGACACCAUAGUGCUGUGUUUCUACCUUGAUCUUAAGGAAAUUGUAGCAAACUGAAAGUGUCUCCUCUUCCUGUCUUCAUUGUCCAUCUACAUAAUAAAAAUAUUUUGUUCAAGU